rnacentral:tRNA from 1 species
UUCCACAGUAGCUCAGUGGUAGAGCUAUCGGCUGUUAACCGAUCGGUCGUAGGUUCGAGUCCUACCUGUGGAGCCAUGGAAACGUACUCAAGUUGGCUGAAGAGGCGCCCCUGCUAAGGGUGUAGGUCGCGAGAGCGGCGCGAGGGUUCGAAUCCCUCCGUUUCCGUUUU